rnacentral:rRNA from 1 species
CCUACGGGAGGCAGCAGUGGGGAAUUUUGGACAAUGGGCGCAAGCCUGAUCCAGCAAUGCCGCGUGCAGGAUGAAGGCCUUCGGGUUGUAAACUGCUUUUGUACGGAACGAAACGGUCUGCUUUAAUACAGUGGGCUAAUGACGGUACCGAAAGAAUAAGCACCGGCUAACUACGUGCCAGCAGCCGCGGUAAUACGUAGGGUGCGAGCGUUAAUCGGAAUUACUGGGCGUAAAGCGUGCGCAGGCGGUUAUAUAAGACAGAUGUGAAAUCCCCGGGCUCAACCUGGGACCUGCAUUUGUGACUAUAUAGCUAGAGUACGGUAGAGGGGGAUGGAAUUCCGCGUGUAGCAGUGAAAUGCGUAGAUAUGCGGAGGAACACCGAUGGCGAAGGCAAUCCCCUGGACCUGUACUGACGCUCAUGCACGAAAGCGUGGGGAGCAAACAGGAUUAGAUACCCUGGUAGUCCACGCCCUAAACCGAUGUCAACUGGUUGUUGGGUCGUUCACUGACUCAGUAACGAAGCUAACGCGUGAAGUUGACCGCCUGGGGNGGUACGGCCGCGAGUAGAACGUACGAAGAGUAGUAGACGCGAGAGAGCGACGACGGACGACGACGGAGGGAGGAGG